AAACUCAAAGGAAUUGACGGGGGNCCGCACAAGCGGUGGAGCAUGUGGUUUAAUUCGACGCAACGCGAAGAACCUUACCGGGGCUUGACAUCCUGUGACCAUCUAAGAGAUUAGGUUUCCGGGUAACCGGACACAGAGACAGGUGCUGCAUGGCUGUCGUCAGCUCGUGCCGUGAGGUGUUGGGUUAAGUCCCGCAACGAGCGCAACCCUUGUCGUGUGUUGGUAGGUAACUAUCUCUCACGCGAGACCGCCGGUGACAAGCCGGAGGAAGGUGGGGAUGACGUCAAGUCAGCAUGGCCCUUACGUCCUGGGCUACACACGUGCUACAAUGGGGAAGACAACGGGCAGCAAGCCAGCGAUGGUUAGCGAAUCCCUUAAACUUCCUCUCAGUUCGGAUUGGAGGCUGCAACUCGCCUCCAUGAAGUCGGAAUCGCUAGUAACCGCAGAUCAGCUACGCUGCGGUGAAUACGUUCCCGGGCCUUGUACACACCGCCCGUCACGUCACCUGAGUUUAGUGUACCCGAAGCCGCCCGUGCAACCGUAAGGAGCAAGGCGUCUAAGGUAUGCUAGGUAAGGGGGACGAAGUCGUAACAA
rnacentral:rRNA from 1 species